UUGCUUCAGCAGCACGAUACAGAUAAAAAAAAAUUGGAACGAUACAGAGAAGAUGAGCAUGGCCCCUGCGCAAGGAUGAAACGCAAAUUCAUGAAGCGUUCCGUAUAAAA
ensembl:snRNA U6 U6 spliceosomal RNA